AUGGAUAGACGUUGGAUUCGUGGUACACUGUUCUGUCGUGAGUACAUUAAUGGUGUCAAAGAGUUUAUGAACCUCAUUCAAGAGAAAUUUAGUGAGGAUGAUAAAAUACUCUGCCCAUGUAGAGAAUGCCUUAAUCACAAAUACUGGCAUCAGGCCGUUGUGAACAAGCACAUAUUGACAAAUGGCAUGGAAACUACAUACACUCAUUGGAUAUAUCACGGAGAAGACUUCGAUGCAGAUGUUAUUGAACAUCCUGUUGAUGUGCAUGACAUCGAGGAUGGUAACAAUGGUGAUGACCAAUUUGAUGAGAUGUUUGGAGACCUAUGCACAGCAGUACAACAAGGUCAGAAGGAAACUGAAGAUGAAGAUGGUAAUAAUGAUGCAAACCCUUCUGAGAAUGAGUCUUUUCUGGCAAACGUGAAGAAAGAGGCUAAGCGACACCUUUAUCAUGGUUGUACCAAGUUUUCAAGGUUCUCAUUUGUGGUGAAGCUUCUUCAUUUGAAGUCAUCCCAUAGGAUCACAAAUAGUGCAUUUACUGACAUAUUGAAGCUAUUGGUUGAAGCUUUCCCUCAACCAAAUACACUCCCAAGGUCGUAUGAGGAAGCAAAAAAAUCUUCUGAAGGAAUUAGGCCUUGGGUAUGA
rnacentral:rRNA from 1 species